UACGGGGGGGGCAAGCGUUGUUCGGAAUUACUGGGCGUAAAGGGCUCGUAGGUGGCCGACUAAGUCAGACGUGAAAUCCCUCGGCUUAACCGGGGAACUGCAUCUGAUACUGGAUGGCUUGAGUUUGGGAGAGGGAUGCGGAAUUCCAGGUGUAGCGGUGAAAUGCGUAGAUAUCUGGAGGAACACCGGUGGCGAAGGCGGCAUCCUGGACCAACACUGACACUGAUGAGCGAAAGCCAGGGGAGCAAACGGG
rnacentral:rRNA from 1 species